rnacentral:rRNA from 1 species
UACGUAGGCAGCGAGCGUUGUUCGGAAUUACUGGGCGUAAAGAGUGUGUAGGCGGUGCUCUAAGUUCGGUGUGAAAUCUCCCGCUUAACUGGGAGGGUGCGCCGGGAACUGGAGUGCUCGAACGUGGGAGAGGAAAGCGGAAUUCCUGGUGUAGCGGUGAAAUGCGUAGAUAUCGAGAGGAACACCGGUGGCGAAGGCGGCCUUCUGGACAGUGACUGACGCUGGAGAACGCGAAAAGCGUGGGGGAGCAAACAGG